UUUACAGGUAGAGACGGGAAAGGGAAAAGUGAGUGGGGAAGUGAUUUUAAACUAUCGGUGGGGUUAGUAGAACUCGAAAGUCUUUACAAGUCGUAUGACUCGGCUCACUACAGUUUUCGCUAUGGCGUGUAUAGGGUCAAGUAGGUUCUGUGCUCGUGCAGAGAAACUGUGCCAGUUUAAACAUUUCGCCCAAUUACGAAAGAAAAUUUCAACGACAUGUGUCAAGUCAAGAACUAUAAUCGAACAUUCGACGAAUAAUUUCGUUCAACAUUGUCAGUAUCAAUAUUUUGCAGUACAAAUAUAAAAUCUUAUUAUUCCAUUCACUUUCAGUCAAAUAUUAUGAAUU
rnacentral:lncRNA from 1 species